AUCCACAAACAGUUACAAAAGAUAAAUAAUGAACUAAUGCUCUCUGCUUAUCUCUCUAUCUUUCAAUCAAGAAAAUAUUUCUUCAACCACAAAUUGUCUAUUACUUUCUGUCUUUCAAUUACCAGCCGAUAUAUGGUAAAAAAAAUAGUGAUCGAGCAAGAGACCCAAGUAAACAGUACUACAAACAAAUAAGAUUCAUGUCGAUCGACGAAGGUAUUAUGAUGUCAACAAUACACAACCACACAGCGGGAAGUCAAAAAGUGGGGUGAAAGCCGGUUUUGAAUACCGGUUUUGAAAAUCUGAUGAAUAAAUGGAAUCCCAGUAAAGGAACAGAGAUUCAGACGAAAAAUGAAGAAAAACGGUAUUUGAGCGGUAGCAGUUGAAGGUAGGAAUAAAAAAACGGCGGCCUGUAAAUCGAAAGGAAUCAGAAGGAAUCAAAUCUUGGAACAGGUCGGAUUUUUCCCAUAAGCUCUGAUACCAAAUGUAAACAAUUAAAUUGACUACUAAUGUUGGUAAAAUGUUGGAAUCCCGGUUUUGGUUUUAGUAUGUA